GACGAACGCUGGCGGCGUGCUUAACACAUGCAAGUCGAACGGAGUGGCGAACGGGUGAGUAACACGUGGGUGACCUGCCCUCCACUUCGGGAUAAGCACGGGAAACUGGGUCUAAUACUGGAUAGUGUGGGAUGGGCCCGCGGCCUAUCAGCUUGUUGGUGGGGUAAUGGCCUACCAAGGCGGCGACGGGUAGCCGGCCUGAGAGGGUGGACGGCCACAUUUGGGCUGAGACAGGGACCAGACUCCUACGGGAGGCAGCGGUGGGGAAUAUUGCACACAGGGCGGCAGACUGAUGUAGCGACGCCGCGUGGGGGAUGACGGCCUUCGGGUUGUAAACUCCUGUCGCCAUCGAAGCGGGAGAUGGAGAAGAAGCACCGGCUAACUACGUGCCAGCCGCCGCGGUAAUAC
rnacentral:rRNA from 1 species